AUUGAACGCUGGCGGCAGGCCUAACACAUGCAAGUCGGGCGAGCGGAGGACGGGUGAGGAAUGUAUGGGGAUCUGACUGAUGGAGGGGGAUAACUACUGGAAACGGUAGCUAAUACCGCAUACCAUCAGAUGAACCCAUAUGGGAUUAGAUUGUAGGUAAGGGAACGGCUUACCUAGGCGAAGAUCCCUAGCUGGUCGGAGAGGAUGAUCAGCCACACUGGGACUGAGACACGGCCCAGACUCCUACGGGAGGCAGCAGUGGUGAAUAUUGCACAAUUGGCGCAAGCCUGAUGCAGCCAUGCCGCGUGUAUGAAGAAGGCCUUCGGGUUGUAAAGUACUUUCAGUCGGGAGGCGUUACCGACAGAAGAAGCACCGGCUAACUCCGUGCCAGCAGCCGCGGUAAUUC
rnacentral:rRNA from 1 species